AUGUGUGGGCUUGGUUGCUCAAAGGAUAGGAUGUAUAUUGGAGCGGCUAGGAUCAUACAGAGCUUGAGAGCUAACUAUGUGGUGCGCUGUGGAGGUCGAGGAAAUAGUAAAACUCUGACCGCUAUACGUAUCGAGGCGUGGGGUGCCAGGAGCAGCACUUCGACCUUAGGUUUGGUUUUGCCGGGCUUUACAACUAACGGUCCGACGUCGGGGUCAGUAGACCGCAGGAAUGUCCCCAUGGAAGGCGUAAAGUUCCAACCAACGGCUUUUAGUGGCUAAAGGGUAUUUU
rnacentral:lncRNA from 1 species